GCGCCGGUAGCUCAGUGGUGAGAGCAGGGUCCUUAUAAGGCUCAGGUCGUAGGUUCAAUUCCUACUCGGCGUA
rnacentral:tRNA from 1 species